CAGCAGCCGCGGGAAUACGAAGGGUGCAAGCGUUAAUCGGGAUUACUGGGCGUAAAGCGUGCGUAGGCGGUUUGUUAAGUCAGAUGUGAAAUCCCCGGGCUCAACCUGGGAACUGCAUCUGAUACUGGCAAGCUUGAGUCUCGUAGAGGGGGGUAGAAUUCCAGGUGUAGCGGUGAAAUGCGUAGAGAUCUGGAGGAAUACCGGUGGCGAAGGCGGCCCCCUGGACGAAGACUGACGCUCAGGUGCGAAAGCGUGGGGAGCAAACAGGAUUAGAUACCCGCGUAGUCCCUGUCUCUUAUAC
rnacentral:rRNA from 1 species